rnacentral:rRNA from 1 species
UACGUAGGUGGCGAGCGUUGUCCGGAUUGACUGGGCGUAAAGGGCGCGUAGGCGGUUCGUACAGUCAGACGUGAAAUUCCUGGGCUCAACCUGGGGGCUGCGUUUGAUACGUGCGGACUUGAGUGCGGAAGAGGGUCGUGGAAUUCCCAGUGUAGAGGUGAAAUUCGUAGAUAUUGGGAAGAACACCGGUGGCGAAGGCGGCGACCUGGUCCGAUACUGACGCUGAGGCGCGAAAGCGUGGGGAGCAAACAGG